AUUAAGUUUAUUUUUCAGUUUUUAGAUACGAUGUUUUGACUCUUCGUCCUAUUUGAAGUUUUUUUGUGAUUAAUAUUUUUAUUGUUACUGGAUGGUAAAACAUGAAUAAUACUUUAUGCAUGACUAAUUUUUUAAAGUUUUUUUACAAAUUUUUCAAAUAAGACGAAUGGUCAAACUUUGAACAUAGAAAUCGAAAAAUGAAGUUAUU
rnacentral:pre_miRNA from 1 species